CGUUCCCGGGUCUUGUACACACCGCCCGUCACACCAUGGGAGCGGGUUUUACCAGAAGUAGGUAGCUUAACCGCAAGGAGGGCGCUUACCACCGUAGGAUUCGUGACUGGGGUG
rnacentral:rRNA from 1 species